rnacentral:rRNA from 1 species
UGGGGAAUAUUGGACAAUGGAGGGAACUCUGAUCCAGCAAUUCUGUGUGUGUGAAGAAGGUUUUAGGACUGUAAAACACUUUUAGUAGGGAAGAAAAAAAUGACGGUACCUACAGAAGAAGCAACGGCUAAAUACGUGCCAGCAGCCGCGGUAAUACGUAUGUUGCGAGCGUUAUCCGGAAUUAUUGGGCUUAAAGGGCAUCUAGGCGGUAAGACAAGUUGAAGGUGAAAACCUGUGGCUCAACCAUAGGCUUGCCUACAAAACUGUUGAACUAGAGUACUGGAAAGGUGGGUGGAACUACACGAGUAGAGGUGAAAUUCGUAGAUAUGUGUAGGAAUGCCGAUGAUGAAGAUAACUCACUGGACAGAAACUGACGCUGAAGUGCGAGAGCUAGGGGAGCAAACAGG